UAAUUUUUGUUUUAACUAAAAUCGACGAAUUUACCGUCGAUUUUUAUCAACAAAAAAUUAUGCCCACCUUUAUUACCCGCGUCCUUCGUUUCAAUCAGUUUCCCAAACAUUAACCCCAAACCUCCAGAGACUCAAAGUUCAGAGUGAAGCUGCUGCUGCUUCUUCUUCUCCAAUGCUUGAGAGUAGAGACCAGAGACGGAGUCACCGUCACGGAGAGAGGCAGAGAGCAUAUGAGUAGAGCUUCUUCUCCUCCGACGAUUGAAAAAACCCGCCGUCCUCCGUCGGAGAGCAGAGCUUCUUCUUUUUCUUCUCCUCCUCCUCCGCCGAGCCUGUCGCCGUGCCAUCUGUUCAUGGAAGAAUCAUCUCUUGCAGUCUGAGAUUAAUCAAUAUGAUACCAAUUUUCAGGGAGUGAAAUGCGGUAUCUAUGGUGCCAAUUGCCCUGGGUGGAUAAUAAGCAUGGAGAUGGUGAGGAAAUUUAAGCCACCACUUAUGAAGUUAUUGGAGUCUGACAAUAUAGACCUCUGUUUUGCCAAUCAGGAUGAAGCAACGGAACUUCAAUUGUAAUUUUUUCUACUGGCUUCUUUUCCAAUCUCGUUCUCUUUUGCUUUGGUUGGAAAAUAUGUAGUUGACUCUGCUGUGAACUGUUUGCUAUUGUGCAUUGAUUACUUGGAGAACAUGACUAACCAUGCCUUUUUCCGAGUUCUUCGGCUUCUCACAAGUGACAGGGAAUGCUGAUAUUGAAGUAGCAAUGGUGGAAAGCCAUGCAAAUCUGAAAAUAAGGUCAAAUAAAAAGCCCAAGCAGCUCUUGAAGAUGGUGUCUAAUUUGCAAGCCAUGCGUCUCACAAUCUUGCAUCUUAAUGUCACCACCACUAACAAUGAUAUUGUCCUCUAUUCUCUCAGCGUUAAAGUUUCUUCUUUCUUUAAUUACUUCACUAAUUUAAUUUCAUUUACUAACUACUUUAAAUUAAUUGUUUGAUAUUUUUGGUGAAGGUGGAAGAUGAUUGCAAGUUGGGAUCAGUGGAUGAGAUAGCCACGGCUGUGUGCCAAAUGAUUGAAAACAUUCAACAUGAGUCUGUUGAAUAAUUAGGGAUAUUUAUUUAAUUUGAACUACUAAUCAGCAUUGCUUAUUUUUUUUCAAUCAAGACCUUAAUUAUUAGUGAUGGUGAUUAUGAUAUUUGAUUUUUCUUUGGCUAUAUAUGUGGCUACUUUAAUUUAUUCUAGGUUUCAAGUUGUACCAAAUUAUUAUUACCUACCUAUAUGUAUGUUAAUACACUGAUUGAUGCACUGGUCGCCAGAGGAUUUUGAAUCUAAAUUGCAGGUAUUUUAAAUGUUUUCCUUUGCUGAGAAUAUGUUACCUAUACAAAUCACUCAUCGUAUAUUUCGUUAUGACGAGAAUUUAUGCUAAAUGAAAUUUUGACAAAUAGCUGAUGUGAAAAUUGUGAUUUUAGCUUUUUGUACUGCAGUCUGCACUAUUAUAAUUGUUCUGUGCAAAAUGCAUAAACAUCUAAAACUAGUAUUAUGUUCAAGUUUACUAUAGGUGAAAAGACUAACAAGAGGAACAACUGAUGAAACUAUAGGUGACUUGUUAUCAGAACUUGGAAUCAUGGCUCAUGUAAGCCACACCAACACUACUAAAUUGGUUGGUUAUGGUGUGGAAGGUGGAAUGCAUCUGGUUCUUGAAUUGUCUGAAAAAGGAAGCCUAGCUUCAGUUCUUUAUGGGUCCAAGGAGAAGCUUCCGUGGUCUAUUAGGCAGAGAAUUGCAUUAGGAACAGCAGAGGGAAUAUUAUAUCUUCAUGAAGUGGGUUUGUGGUCAGCGGGUUAGCGCAGAAGCCAACCCAAUUGAUAAAAGGUUUCAACUUUGACUACACCAAGCAGAGUCCUGUGGCAUAUGUGCCUCUAAUAUCGUGUGCUGGUGUUGUUGGUGGCCAUGAUUCAGUGAAGGAAAUUGCAGCUAGUAAGUGGGUGGGUCAAAGGGUGUUACCUCCUAAACAAAAUGUGCAGGUUACUGUUUCAUUGGAAGUGCCCAAAUCAGGUCACAAUAGAAAUCUUGGGGUAUUUUAGGUUUUUGUGGAGAUAGGGGCAGACAGAACAACACUCAAAAUCCCAAAAAAUUCUUAGCAUAACAGAACCUACGUGCAGUUCAAUUCUCUUUGGGAAAGGUUUGGUGGGUGGCGGGGAAAGAAAUGAGCUUUCUCAACUUAGUUAAAAGAAACUCAAAAGCUCUUGCAUAAGGGUCUAAGUCUACGAUGCUAUCUGGCAUUCUCUCAAAGGUGAACACUACCAUUUACUGUCAACGCAUUCAGGAAGCAAUUACACGGCCACAAGCAAUGCCAACACCAUUAUUGUACAGGAAUCCAGUUCUGUCUCUUUCUUUAGGCAACAAGGUUUAUAGAAAAUCAAUGGCUACUUCACCUUUCAAAGCUGUGCUUGGAGAUGUUUAUGUUGAUGACUUGGUCUCCAGUUGCAGCAGUGGUGUGGAUUUCACAAAGCCUACUGGUGUGUACUUUAGGAUUUGAAUAUUUUGUAUUAUUAGUGGAUUGCAAUUUAAAUGAAUAUUACUCUAAGUUUAGUUAUUUAUCUUGUCUUGAGUCUUUAUAUUAGAGGAUUAUUUAUUA